CUUCCUUACAUCUCCACUCCUUCUUUUGUCCCCCAGUUCCAGUCUUGAUCACCUUCCAUUUGACUGGUGCUGCAGGACCUACCUGCCAACUUCUCUGUCACCAACAUGCCGUGUCUAAGUUUCCCUAGAUAACUCCCAGGUCAUGCCUUGCUUCUGUUCCUUAGCCUACGGUUGAUUACUUGUUGAUUAAUUAUCAAUUCAGCUUCAAAUUCUUCCACCAGUGGUCACGUUUUCCUGGAACCAACUCGUCUAUCCCAACUUAAUUUCCCACUCUCCCCUCCUGACUCUUCUUUAACUGGUAAAAUGGCACUCAUCCUUCAAGGCCUGGGAUCACGUACCACCGACACUCUGUCAAGUUCUUCUUCCCCACCCUCAGAGCAAUGGCUCCCUGUCACUUCUCCCCCAGACACUCACCUCUAGUACAAGACUGCUCAAGUUGCUGUGAGCUUAUUUGCUCACAGGCUCUUUCCUUGCCUGGAUUCUGAGUCUUUUGAACUCUGGAAAUGUAUUUUUCAUUUUGUAUUCUAACGUCCAGCAGGGCAUAGGUGCUCAGUAAAUGCCUUCAUCAGAUUAACCAAUAGACCCCAGCCCAGCACAGUUCUCCACAAGUGCUUAGUGAAGAAUCGCUGACAUCAAAGCAUCGCCCAGGGAUGCAGGCAGGCAUGUAAACAUCAAUUAUGACAAAAAGAGGCUCAUAGAACCUUGUUUUUUAAAGGGGAAACUUUCCAUUUUGGGAAAACAAAGCCAAUGAGCCUCAAAAGUCUAAGGGGUAUUUUGAACUUUGUCUUAAGACAAAUUGAAACAUCGUCUUAAGACAAACUAUCCUAGGGCACCAGAGGGAUAUCAGACUUUCUUUUUUGACACAUUAUUUUAAAGAAUUAGAAGGAAGGUAGUAUGAACUCACAAUUACUAAAAAUAUUUUGUUUUCAAGAGAAGCUCUCUUACUUUACAAUGUCUAAGGAAAGCAUAGCUGAUCUGGAAUUCAGAAACUUUAAGAAAAAUUAAAACAAUGUUAUUAGCAACAAGAGGCACUUGGGGUCUGGGAUAACCAGGAUGAAAAUGGAUGUGCUCUU
rnacentral:lncRNA from 1 species